GUGCUUGCUUUGUAGCACAUAUACUCAAAUUGGAAGUGUGCAGAGAAGAAUAGGAUGGCCUCUGUGCAUGGAUGUCAAGCAAAUUCUUGAAGGGCUCCAUACUGGA
ensembl:snRNA U6 U6 spliceosomal RNA